rnacentral:lncRNA from 1 species
ACGUCAUGAUUCGUGAAGCAAAACGCAAAUUUUAUGGAAGAUAUGAGAUGCAGCUAGGACAAUGUAGGAUAUCUUCAAUCUAGGACACUAAAGACAAGAUGGGUAAGAAUUCAGCUUUAAUAUUUUAUUCGAUUAACAUUUCACGAAGGAUUUUUAAAUGCCAUUUCCAAAACUGAUUUAUUUAUCCACAGGACUCAGGAGUUUGAAAUCCUAUCAAUAACGGGGUAAACAUAUACCAAACUUGAAUAUCACAGUAGAGCUUCACUCGAAUCAAUCUUCUGUGAUAUAUCCAGUUUGAGUAAAUUAUAAAGACAUGCACGAACUUAAGUUUAUAAGACCGUAAAGUAGAACCAGCUAGAUGACCAUUUAUUCUUUACACUUCCGGAGCACCCGAGAUCACCCCUUGUUUUUGGUGGGGUUCGUGUUGUUUAUUCUUUAGUUUCCUAUGUUGUGUCGUGGGAACUAUUGUUUGUCCUUUUCAUUUUUUAGCCAUGGCGUUGUCAGUUUAUUUUCGAUUUAUGAGUUUGACUGUCCCUCUGGUAUCUUUCGUCCCUCUUUUAUCUGUUUAUAACCAUUGAAAUGUAUAUGUCUCUUUGAUAACUAUACAUUUUUUGGUAGCGAGUGAAACCGGAGUGAAGUUAACACUGGCUUCGUAAUAUUCCUGUUGUCUUCCCAAGUUCUGAGAUAAACUAUCAAAGCACGUAAACAAUAAGAUGUUUAUUUAAAAGACAUAUAUAUAUAUGGUUGAAUAUACAGUUAUAUAUACAGUGGGGCUGCCGCUAGUCUACUUGUUAAUGUUAUUGUAACAGUCCCUAAAGUGGGAGCCAUAGGAUGAGCGUCCUCUCAAUUCAAAUCCUAUUAGUAAACUUUCCUGAACCCAAUGAGUGACAUCAUACUUAUAGUUCCUAGCUAGGGACAAAGAGUCCAAUAGGGUUUGGAAGUCUGGCAAGAUCAAAGUCCUGACAAGAAUAAUAACAUGGCAGGUGGUGGUCUCGGGAGAAAGAGUUACGGAACUAUAACUGUAUAAGUAAUACAUUUGUACUAAGACAUAGUAACAAUAUAUAACACCAGACUAGAGGACUGUGAAAACAAGUGACCUGGCAUAAAAUGAAUAUCCUGGUCUGGUUUCUCAAUCUGGGGUGACUGGUAAGAACACAUUCAUAAAUCAUGGGCUUUAAGGAAUCUUAUUUAAGAAUGUCAUAUCAAAUUAAAAUUUUCAGAGAAUUGGAUUAUAAAAUUACAGAACCAGGUGCUCUGCAGGGAGCAGCUUUCUACGACCCGCUGAGGGUGAACCAUGAAUAGUUGGGGCUAGUAUCAUGAGUAUUGACACAACAUUCAAGCUUGAUACAGCUCUGAAUUUGGAUUCUGAUCAAAUUUUUGACAUACAUGUAAUGUAAUAUGAGUUUCUGACACUAAGCAAAUGUCAAGAUCUUACAAAUCUAUUGCGCAAUAUUGUGCAGUUAAAAAUUUCUUCUUUAAACUUUUUAAAAAUUUGGAAUUCAAGAAAUUCAAUGACAUUUUGUCAUUUUUUUUUUAUUAAAAUCGCUAUUGGUAGUAAAAGCUCGUCUGGCCUACUAAACAAGCCCCUGUGAACCACUAAAAAACAAUAAAUUAAGCAGCUUUGACUCCAUAAUAAAUGAGAUGCUCAAGCGCAGCCAAUCAUAUCUGCUUAAAUGUUUUGUAAAGAUAUUUAACAUGUUUAACAAUGUCAAUGAUGUAAGUAACAACAGGAAAAUUUCCUGAAAUAUGGGCUAAAGGAUUUAUUGUCCCAUUACAUAAAAUCGGAUCUAAAGAUUACCCAUCAAAUUUUAAGAAGCAUCACGAUAGGAAGUUGUGUAGGAAAACUCUUUUUAAAAAUACUCAAUAAUAGAUAAGAAUAGUUUAUAUAAACUAUAAGAAAUAUAGUUGGUCCAGAGUGGACAAUGCUCAUUGUUGAACGCUGUAUGGUGGCUAUGGUUGUUAAUUUCUGUGUCAUUGGCAAUCAUAUCACAUCUCCUAUUUUUAUAGGACGACUGCAAGUUCUGGUGGAUGGUCUUAGAAAAAUAUCAUAACAUGUACAUGUACAUGUAUACCGGUAUGAUAGAAAAAAAAAUUUCUCCGAUAAGUAACUGUGUGGAUGAUGAAUAAAUGACAGGGAUUUUAACCUCACUGCAAUAAUAUAUAAUAUUGUAGCACUUGGUACAAUCACUUUUUAAACGACCGCAAAAAUUAAAAAAAAUCACGUGUGCGUCGCUGUCGUGCUCAUCCGAAUACUUUUAGUUUUCGCACUCUAACUUUAGUAAUUUUAAGUGAAUGGAAAUCUAUGAAAUUUUAACACAAGGUUUAUGACCACAAAAGGAAGGUUGGGAUUGAUUUUGGGAGUUUUGGUCCCAACAUUUUAGGAAUUAGGGGCCAAAAAGGGCCCAAAUAAGCAUUUUCUUGGUUUUCGCACUAUAACUUUAGUUUAAGUAAAUAGAAAUCUAUGAAAUUUUGAACACAAAGGUUUAUGACCACAAAAAGGAAGGUUUUGGGAAAAAAUUUAGUUUGAUUUCAUCAAAAAUUGGGGUUCUUUGAUAUGCCAAAUCUAACUGUGUAUGUAGAUUCUUAAUUUUUGGUCCCGUUUUCAAAUUGGUCUGUACAUUUAAGUCCAAAGGGUCCAAAAUUAAACUAAGUUUGAUUUUAACAAAAAUUAAAUUCUUUGGCUUCUUUGAUAUGCUGAUUCUAAACAUGUACUUAGAUUUUUGAUUAUGGGCCCAGUUUUCAAGUUGGUCCAAAUCAGGAUCCAAAAUUAUUAUAUUAAGUAUUGUGCAAUAGCAAGAAAUUUUCAAUUGCACAGUAUUCAGCAAUAGCAAGAAAUCUUCAAAUGCACAGUAUUGUGCAAUAGCAAGAAAUUUUCAAUUGCACAGUAUUGCGCAAUAGCAAGAAAUCUUCAAUUGCACAGUAUUGUGCAAUAGCAAGUAUUUUCAAUUGCACAGUAUUGCGCAAUAGCAAGAAAUAUCUAAUUGCACAAUAUUGCGCAAUAGCAAGAAAUUUUCAAUUGGAGUUAUCUUUCUUUGUCCAGAAUAGUAGUUGAAUCAACUUAAAUCAUUGUUUUAUACAAUAUACAAUGUAUAUUCACUUUUACUACCAACUGAUAAAUUAAAACAAUCUUUACCAUUCAGUGAUAACAAGCACUUUUUUUACAUUUUAAUAUUUUAUGAUGUAUUUAAAUGAGUAGUUAUUGUUGCAAACUCCAUUAGAAAUUUGAAUUGAGAUCAGUUUUGGAAUAAGGGAAAGGGGGAUGUGAAAAAAAAAAAUUGGGGGGGGGGGGUCAAUUUUUCUCAUUUCAGAUUUCAUAAAUAAAAAGAAAAUUUCUUCAAACAUUUUUUUGAGAGGAUUAAUAUUCAACAGCAUAGUGAAUUGCUCAAAGGCAAAACAAAAAUGUUUAAGUUCAUUAGACCACAUUCAUUCUGUGUCAGAAACCUAUGCUGUGUCAACUAUUUAAUCACAAUCCAAAUUUAGAGCUGAAUCCAGCUUGAAUGUUGUGUCCAUACUUGCCCCAACCGUUCAGGGUUCAACCUCUGCGGUCUUAUAAAGCUGCGCCCUGCGGAGCAUCUGGUUAUCAUUAUACUAUGGUUUGUUUUAAUACAAAAAUGUAUAUAAAAUAUUAAUACAACUGUUCAAAAUAUAUAGCAUAUUCCCUCAACCAAUAUAGUGAGUUCAGUAUAAUAUACACUUCUUAGUUUUAUUAUUUGAUUGACAUGAAUUGUUUAUACUGUCUUUUUACUGAUAUCUGAAAUAUUUGCCACUUGAGACAUUAUGCAGACUGCCUUAUGUAGGCAUUAAAAAUUUAAGGGACUGUUGGUCCAUCUUUCAGUAUUACAUUGGAUGAUGAUUCAAUUUUUGUUUCCUUGUGUUAACUUUAGUUUGCAAUUGCCUCAUGCAAAGGAUUAGGUCCAGUAAGACCCCUUUUUGGCCCCAAAAUAUAGCAGUUUUACAAAAUUGUUUAGAUGUAAACUUCUAGUUAUUCAUCGGAAAGUAGAAUGCUACUGCUACAUAAAUGUGGGCUGUUUUCAACAAUACAACGCACAUAUAUCGGGUACUAGCAUCAUUAAGUCAUGCUAAAUUACUGAAAUCUUCACAAUUUUAGAAUUUUAGUUAAAUUUUAGACGUUUUUUUGUCUUGAAUGAAAGUGCCGCAUUGGUGUCCAUUCUUAAAAAUAUUGAAAAGUAAGUUGUAUUUGAUGAUAACACAUAACAUAUAUAAAGGUUGAGGAUGAACACGAAUCAGCCAUUUCAAUUAAUAUUUUAUAGUGUGUCUUUCUAUGUUGUGAUGUUACACUAUUGUUUCAGAUAAGGGUGAAGGUUUGGUACCAUUUAAAAGUUUAAACCCCCUGCAAUUGUGUGUCACCUGUCCUUAGUCAGGAAUCUGAUGUUUAGUAGUUUUCGUUUGUUGAUGUAGUAACUAAGUUCAUAAGUUUUUCUCGUUUCUUCUUUUUAUACGCCCAUUUAUGUGAGUACAUAUGUAUUAUGGUAUACCGUUGUCUGUCUGUCCAUGGUCAACAUGUUGGACAUUAACUCAUAAAUGCUUUAACCAUUUUGCAUAAAACUUCGGUGAAUUGUUUAUAUCUAUUGACAUGAGCUGCCUUUCAUUUUUUAUAAGGUUUAGAUUUUAAGUUUCUGAGUAACAGGGUUGUUCAUAAAAAAAAGGUGAUUUUCCAGUUUUUAGUCAAUAACUCAAGAAUGUUUUCUCCUACUUGCAAGAAAUUUUGGUGUAUUUUUUAUAUCUAUUGACAUGAACUCCCUUUCAAUUUUUAUAAAUUUUAAAUUUCUGAGUUACCAGGUUUUAUAUUCAUAAAAAAAGGGUGAUUUUCCAGUUUUCAGUCAAUAUCUCCAGAAUGUUUUCUUUUUCUUGCAAGAAAUUUUGGUGAAUUGUUUAUAUCUUUUGACAUGAGAUCCCUUACAAUUUUUAUAAUUUUAGAUAUUGGGUUUUUGAGUUACCAGAUUUUAUUCAUAAAAAGAUGGGGAAUUUUUCCAGUUUUCGGACAAUAACUCAAAAAUACUUUCAGCAGCUGUUCUCGUGAAACUUUUGUGAAUUGUUUAUAGCUUUGAUGGAAGCUCCCUUUAGAAUUUUAAAAUUUUAGAUUUUACAUUUCAGAGUUAUGGCAUGGGGUUUUAUUCAUUAAAUAAAGGGGAUUUUCCAGUUUUGGACAAUAACUCAAAAAUGCUUGCAGCAAUUCUCAUUGGAUGGUUUUACUCUAGUAGUAAUUUUUUGGGCCCUUUAUAGCUUGCUGUGCAUUGUGAGCCAAAGCUCUAUGUUGAAGACUGUACUUUGACCUUUAAUGGUUUUACUUUUACAUGUUUUAUAAAUUGUGACUUGGAUGAAGAGUUGUCUCAUUGGCACUCAUACCACAUCUUCUUAUAUCUAUCAUCUUCAUUUUGGCUUUCACAUGAACACAUGUGUCUGUAAUUGUAAAGUAAUAUGAAAAUAGUUUCUGUAAAAUUUUUAUGAAAUGGAUUUCUUUUUAUCCUAUAGGCUAGUUAUCAAAUUUGACCUCCCCUAUGUCAGGAAGGUACAUGUACAUGGAUGUUUAAAAAAUUCCACAAAUGGUGAAGAAAAUGGCAAGGGAAGACACCUAGUAAAUGUUUCAAGUACAAUUCAGCAAUGGUAAGUAUAUUUUUUGUAUGGUGCAAGAUUUUUUUGCUGUGUUGAAAACAAUUCGUGGCCUUCCGUUGUUUUUUGCUCUUUGUCAGACUUACUGUUAUUGAAUAUAUAUAUAUGUACUUUGUAAGACAACUUGCUUUCAAUACAUUAUUUAUGCUGAAACUUUAUUACUAUAUAUUAAGGUAACUUUGCUGUUACAGUCUUUGCCAAACUGAAAUUUAAACUUUUCUACUAUACAUUCAACUAAAACAUCUUGAAAGUUCUUUCUGUCUGAAUUGCUUUUUGUCUGAGACUUGUUGGUAAGACAGAGUUUGGGAUUCACUGCUGUUACAAAUAGUAAGGAGAAUUUAUUAAAAAAGAUAUAAUGCAAUAGAGAAACAACUGAUAACUUAUAAGGGGUAUACUAUACAUGGUAUAUAUCAAUGAAUCAACAUUAGUAAAUACACAGCGAAAAAAAAGAAACACAUACAAUUGCAAGAUGGCCCCUAUAUGGUUUUUUGAACCUCAUCAGGUCAAAAUACAGCUAUGGCAAUUUAACCCCCUUGUAUGGAAAAUUGAACAUUGAGGUAAAAUAUAGAUUUUGGCUUACAAAAAAAUGUAUAUCUCUCUGAAAACAAAGCAUUUAGAGCAAAUCUGACAUGGGGUAAAAUUGUUUAACCAAAUAUUAUGAAACUUACACACCCUGAUAAUAUCAACUAAAUGCAGAUCAAGUACAAAUUUGGGUAGGUCACUUUUACUGUUCUGGAGUUAUUUCCCUUAUUAUAACAUUAUACCUAUGCAAAGGGAGCAUCAUCUGUGUCCCAUGGAGAUAAAAAAAAAAUUAAAUUAUGAAAAUGGACAAAUCUGACAUUUUGAUAAACCAAAUAUUUAUAGUGAAUCUAGUGUUUUAUUUAGAGAUGUCUAAAAGGAUGGAACAUGAUGAUCCGGCAUGUAUUACAGCUGAUUUCCUUAUGCUUGCAAAGUAAAACUUUGGUUGGCUUGCUUGCUUUGUUUGUAUAAUUGUUUAUACAAGCUUUGUGAAUAAGAUUGACAUCUUUAAACAAUAUAUAUAGGCAUAGUUAAACCUGUAUAUAUUAUAGAUAAUUCAUAUCAAUUGGGUGUUAUCCUAAUUUAAAAGUCUAAAAAAAUUUAUCGAUAUAAAAAACGUCUCCUUCUGUCUAAAAUAGAUUUGCAGGUUUUGGCACAUUUGUAAAUUACAUUAACGUUUUGGCAAACACAAAAGCAGUUGCUCACGGUUCGUCAACAUGUUAAAGUUCUCAACACUGUUUAUAUAUUCAUAAAGUUCGUUCCUUAAAUCGCAUAAAGUGGACAUUCAAUUAGUACAUGUUCCUCAGUUUCAGUUUUAUUUUCACACAUAAAGAAAGUCCGUUCAUGCAUUGGUAAACGUUCGAAGUGCUUGGUUUCGAUUCGUAUGGGUGCAACCCCACAUCUGAAUUGCGAAUAUGCUCUACGUUGAGCAGGAGAUAAUAGUGUUUUUAAAUAAAGUUCACAACUAAUUUCGGUUUUAAAUGUUCUAUAUGUCCUUAAUUUGUUACUACCACCAUCCAUACGUCUUGCAAAACUCUAUGUAGAUCUUCCGUCCACUUAUUUCUAAAAUCGUUAAAAGUUUAUCUUCUAUUUUCGCUAAACUAGUUUUGUAUUAUACCAGUCACUAAUAUUACACGUUUCAAACUGCAAUAAAGUUAUAAUUUGAAUUUUUACAUGCUUUAAUAAAACUAUGUUAUUAUAUUAUAUUAUAUUUGAAUUCAAUUGGGUGUUAUCCUAAUAUGAUUGUACAAUAUACAAACAAAGCAAGCAAGCUAACCAAAGUUUUGCUCUACAUGCAUUAGGAAAUUAGCUGUAACCCUGUAUGGAAAAACACUGUCAUUGAGAGUGAAUUGAAACUAUUUGUACCUUUACCAUGUUCAUAAUUAGUACAAAAUGACAUCUAAUAAAGAAUUUAUUCAAAACUUAAUUUAUUUCAUUUAUGUUACAGGAGUUUCUGGAAUGCCAAGCAAAAUCAAAGGAUAUUUUCAUAGAAAGGACUUCUGUAGGCAAAAAAAGUAGGUAUGUGUAUAAAUAUAUUUAUAUUUAUGUAAUAUUUGGAGAGAGAUUUAAAAAAAAAAAUGUUUUAAUCCUUGCUCUUCCAAACACAUUGCAGUUGUUAAAGUUUCAUGGGUUACCUAUUAAAUAAAUGAAUGAAUGAAAAGUUUCAACUUAAUUCUUAUGGUUAUAACACUUUAAAAACUGCUCGAUUUUGUAAGUAAAAAGAUCAGUUGUGGUUACAUUUUGUAUUCAAGAUUGUUUUUAUUACAAAUAUUAAUUGCUUCCAAUUUUUAGCUACAUAUAUUAAAGUUUAAAAAAAAUAUAAAAAUAAGAAGAUGUGGUAUGAUUGCCAAUGAGUCAUUACUCUCCACCAGAGACCAUUGAAGAAGAAUUUAAAAAUUAGCAAAACUCAUGCCAAAUGUAAAACCAAAAAUCAUGUGUCUAAGACUUAAAUAUCAAUCAGUAAACAUCUAAUUGAUUUAGAGUCUAGAGAAUAGACUGCCAUUAAUCAUAGGAUAAGGACAUGAUCUUGUACAAUCUCAAAAUAUAGGUAUCAACAGUUUGUAAAACUGGUCAACAUACAUAUGUGUAUAACAAUAAUGUUUAGUUUGGUUUUAAUUUACUGAUAGCAAAAUCAAUAUUUAUAUUUAUAAAAUACUUUCCAGUUUUAUUCAAAUAUGUUGUUAUAUCAAAACGAGACAAAUAUAAAAAAGUAGAUGUGGUAUUAUUGCCAAUGAGACAACUCUCCACAAGAGACCAAAAUGAGACAGAAAAGCAUGUUUAAAAGUCACUGAGGAUAUGUCAUUAUUUUUAAAACUAACAACUUACAGUAUAUGGGAAUAAAUCAAAUUAAGUUUUUAAAUGUAUGAAUGUAAUUUUUUUUUUUCAGAUGAAGACAACUUCAAGAAGAGUGACAUUUAGAAGAUAGAACAUUCUAUUGAUAUUGUUAUUAUGUCAACAACAAAAAAACAUAAAAAGUUGUGUAACGUUUUGAGAUUGCUGUAUAAAAUAAAAGUAGAGUGAAAUCAAA